GGACCCGCACAAGCAGCGGAGCAUGUGGUUUAAUUCGAAGCAACGCGAAAAACCUUACCAAGACUUGACAUUGUAUGAAAGGUAUGGAAACAUAUUUUUCCGUAGCAAUACGGACAUAUAAACAGGUGGUGCAUGGUUGUCGUCAGCUCGUGUCGUGAGAUGUUGGGUUAAGUCCCGCAACGAGCGCAACCCCUAUGACUAGUUGCCAAUAUUAAGUUAGGAACUCUAGUCAGACUGCCGUGGAUAACACGGAGGAAGGUGGGGAUGACGUCAAAUCAUCAUGCCCCUUACGUCUUGGGCUACACACGUGCUACAAUGGCUACUACAAAGAGCAGCAAGCCGGUAACGGCAAGCGAAUCUCAAAAAAGUAGUCUCAGUUCAGAUUGUGGGCUGCAACCCGCCCACAUGAAGUAGGAGUUGCUAGUAAUCCCGAAUCAGCAUGUCGGGGUGAAUGCGUUCCCGGGUCUU
rnacentral:rRNA from 1 species